GACGUAGGGGGCGAGCGUUGUCCGGAUUUAUUGGGCGUAAAGCGUGCGUAGGCGGCUGCGCAAGUCGGGUGUGAAACCCCGGGGCUCAACCCCGGAACUGCAUCCGAUACUGCGUGGCUAGAGGUAGGUAGGGGAGAUCGGAAUUCCUGGUGUAGCGGUGAAAUGCGUAGAUAUCGGAAGGAACACCGGUGGCGAAAGCGGCGCGCUGGACCUCUUCUGACGCUGAGGCGCGAAAGCCAGGGGAGCGAACGGG
rnacentral:rRNA from 1 species